rnacentral:rRNA from 1 species
UUUCCAGCAGCCGCGGUAAUACGAAGGGGGCUAGCGUUGUUCGGAAUUACUGGGCGUAAAGGGCGCGUAGGCGGUGCUGUAAGUCAGGCGUGAAAUCCCCGGGCUCAACCUGGGAAUUGCGCAUGAUACUGCGGCGCUGGAAUGCGGGAGAGGAUGGCGGAAUUCCCAGUGUAGAGGUGAAAUUCGUAGAUAUUGGGAAGAACACCGGUGGCGAAGGCGGCCAUCUGGCCCGUGAUUGACGCUGAGGCGCGAAAGCGUGGGGAGCAAACAGGAUUAGAAACCCCAGUAGUCC